UACGGUGGGAGCAAGCGUUGUUCGGAUUUACUGGGCGUAAAGGGCGCGUAGGCGGUCGCACAAGUCAGUUGUGAAAUCUCCGGGCUUAACUCGGAAAGGUCAACUGAUACUGUGCGACUAGAGUGCAGAAGGGGCAACUGGAAUUCUCGGUGUAGCGGUGAAAUGCGUAGAUAUCGAGAGGAACACCUGCGGCGAAGGCGGGUUGCUGGGCUGACACUGACGCUGAGGCGCGAAAGCCAGGGGAGCGAACGGG
rnacentral:rRNA from 1 species